rnacentral:rRNA from 1 species
GACGAACGCUGGCGGCGUGCUUAACACAUGCAAGUCGAACGGUAAGGCCCUUCGGGGUACACGAGUGGCGAACGGGUGAGUAACACGUGGGUGAUCUGCCCUGCACUUCGGGAUAAGCCUGGGAAACUGGGUCUAAUACCGGAUAGGACCCUGGGAUGCAUGUCCUGGGGUGGAAGGCUUUUGCGGUGUGGGAUGGGCCCGCGGCCUAUCAGCUUGUUGGGGGGGUGAUGGCCUACCAAGGCGACGACGGGUAGCCGGCCUGAGAGGGUGACCGGCCACACUGGGGAUGAGAGACGGCCCAGACUCCUCCGGGAGGCAGCAGGGGGGAAUAUUGCACAAUGGGCGCAAGCCUGAUGCAGCGACGCCGCGUGAGGGAUGACGGCCUUCGGGUUGUAAACCUCUUUCAGCACCGACGAAGCGCAAGUGACGGGAGGUGCAGAAGAAGGACCGGCCAACUACGUGCCAGCCGCCGCCGUAA